rnacentral:rRNA from 1 species
AGAGUUUGAUCAUGGCUCAGGAUGAACGCUAGCUACAGGCUUAACACAUGCAAGUCGAGGGGAAACGACAUCGAAAGCUUGCUUUUGAUGGGCGUCGACCGACGCACGGGUGAGUAACGCGUAUCCAACCUGCCCAUCACUUGGGGAUAACCUUGCGAAAGUAAGACUAAUACCCAAUGAUAUCUCUAGAAGACAUCUGAAAGAGAUUAAAGAUUUAUCGGUGAUGGAUGGGGAUGCGUCUGAUUAGCUUGUUGGCGGGGUAACGGCCACCAAAGCAACGAUCAGUAGGGGUCCUGAGAGGAAGGUCCCCCACAUUGGAGCUGAGACACGGUCCAAACUCCUACGGGAGGCA